ACUUUUAGAUAUGCGGCCUCAAUGGAUGACAUCUGGGAAGAAGAGGAACGUCAUACAGACCAAUUGAGAGAACAUCUUCUCUGCGCUGAAGCUCUGAGAGAAAAGCAGCUGAAGAACAACAGGGAGGCUCAUCAGAAGCAGCUCUGAGACAAGUUUUAAGACAAGCAGAGGAUGCUGGACGAACUCAGAAUGCGUAAGGAGAUCUUUCACAUCCAUGUCAUGUUCUUGGAUUGAGUCACUGACCUUCUAACCUCUCAGCCAUUGGUUCCCAUCACCCACUGUUAAGAGUUCCUAUGAUUUCAAGCUGUAACAGCCCCCGUCAUCCAGUGAUGAUACCACAGAGAUUGGACUGAUUACUCACAACAAUGAGGACGCCUAUAGGAAGAAGGAGAGGGACCUAUUCAUACGGCGUCAAGACAAUAACCUCCCUAAAUCCAUCCCGAAAUGUUGAGAAGAUAAUUUUGGAUUUUAGGAAGACCAAAACUGUUCAGCCACCAGUUUGCAUCAAUUAUGUCCCUGUUGAAAUAGUGAAUAACAUCAGAUUCUUAGGCAUUCAGAUCUCUCCUGGUCUCUAAACAUCAGUUGAGUUGUCAAAAAGGCACAACAGAGACGCUACUUUACAGAUACUUUCUGCGAUGCCUUAAAAAAAUAUGGAAUGUCUACAAAAACCCUGGUCAAUUUCUAUCAGGCAACCAGAGAAAGCAUCCUUACUGGAAGCAUACUGGUGUGGUUUGGCAACCUGACUCAACAAGACCACAAACAACUGAGGAAGCCAUUUGAAAACAGCUUCGAAAAAUCAGGAACAUCACUGCCACAGAUUCAGGACAUUUACAUGCAUACCUUCUGCUGCAGAAGGAAGGGCCUAAGUGGACAAGGACAUCAGCCACCCAGCACACAUGGACACAUAGACUACUGAACAGCAAGCACUUUAAAUAACACAGGGAUUUAUUUCUUAUUGUAGAAUUUCUCCUUCUUAUUAUUGUUGUCUCUUAUUUACUCAUCUUAUAUAUCAGCCGGGUCUCAUGGGAAGGCUUAUAAAUAGCAUGACAUUACACGGGCAUUCUGCGUGUCACAAGGACGCAUUUUAGCCUUUUAGCGUAUCAUUUGUACGCCAUGCAACAAAACUACGGCAACUACG